rnacentral:rRNA from 1 species
UACGUAGGCAGCGAGCGUUGUUCGGAGUUACUGGGCGUAAAGGGUGUGUAGGCGGUUCUUUAAGUUUGGUGUGAAAUCUCCCGGCUCAACCGGGAGGGUGCGUCGAAUACUGAGGGACUAGAGUACGGGAGAGGAAAGUGGAAUUCCUGGUGUAGCGGUGAAAUGCGUAGAUAUCAGGAGGAACACCGGUGGUGUAGACGGCUUUCUGGACCGUAACUGACGCUGAGACACGAAAGCGUGGGUAGCAAACAGG